rnacentral:rRNA from 1 species
UACGUAGGUGGCAAGCGUUGUCCGGAUUUACUGGGCGUAAAGAGCGCGCAGGCGGUCGUUCAAGUCGCGUGUGAAAGCCCCCGGCUCAACUGGGGAGGGUCACGCGAUACUGAUCGACUCGAAGGCAGGAGAGGGUAGUGGAAUUCCCGGUGUAGUGGUGAAAUGCGUAGAUAUCGGGAGGAACACCAGUGGCGAAGGCGGCAUCCUGGACCGGCAUUGACGCUGAGGCGCGAAAGCCAGGGGAGCAAAGCGGG